GGGCCCGUGGUGUAGCCUGGCCUAACACGCCGCCCUGUCAAGGCGGAGAUCGCGGGUUCAAAUCCCGUCGGGCCCG
rnacentral:tRNA from 1 species